rnacentral:rRNA from 1 species
UACGUAGGGUGCAAGCGUUAAUCGGAAUUACUGGGCGUAAAGCGUGCGCAGGCGGUUGUGCAAGACAGAUGUGAAAUCCCCGGGCUCAACCUGGGAACUGCAUUUGUGACUGCACGGCUGGAGUGCGGCAGAGGGGGAUGGAAUUCCGCGUGUAGCAGUGAAAUGCGUAGAUAUCGGAAGGAACACCAGUGGCGAAAGCGGCUUCCUGGUCCAGCAUCGACGUUCAGGCACGAAAGCGUGGGGAGCAAACAGG